rnacentral:rRNA from 1 species
GGUUAAGUGACUAAGCGUACACGGUGGAUGCCUAGGCAGUCAGAGGCGAUGAAGGGCGUGCUAAUCUGCGAAAAGCGUCGGUAAGGUGAUAUGAACCGUUACAACCGGCGAUACCCGAAUGGGGAAACCCAGUGUGUUUCGACACACUAUCAUGUCAUGAAUACAUAGUGGCAUGAGGCGAACCGGGGGAACUGAAACAUCUAAGUACCCCGAGGAAAAGAAAUCAACCGAGAUUCCCCCAGUAGCGGCGAGCGAACGGGGAGGAGCCCAGAACCUGAAUCGGCUUGUGUGUUAGUGGAAGCGUCUGGAAAGUCGCGCAGCAAAGGGUGAUAGCCCCGUACACUAAAAUGCACAGGUCGUGAGUUCGAUGAGUAGGGCGGGACACGUGACAUCCUGUCUGAAUAUGGGGGGACCAUCCUCCAAGGCUAAAUACUCCUGACUGACCGAUAGUGAACCAGUACCGUGAGGGAAAGGCGAAAAGAACCCCGGCGAGGGGAGUGAAAUAGAACCUGAAACCGUGUACGUACAAGCAGUGGGAGCACCUUCGUGGUGUGACUGCGUACCUUUUGUAUAAUGGGUCAGCGACUUAUAUUUUGUAGCAAGGUUAACCGUAUAGGGGAGCCGUAGGGAAACCGAGUCUUAACUGGGCGAAUAGUUGCAAGGUAUAGACCCGAAACCCGGUGAUCUAGCCAUGGGCAGGUUGAAGGUUGGGUAACACUAACUGGAGGACCGAACCGACUAAUGUUGAAAAAUUAGCGGAUGACUUGUGGCUGGGGGUGAAAGGCCAAUCAAACCGGGAGAUAGCUGGUUCUCCCCGAAAGCUAUUUAGGUAGCGCCUCGUGAACUCAUCUUCGGGGGUAGAGCACUGUUUCGGCUAGGGGGCCAUCCCGGCUUACCAAACCGAUGCAAACUCCGAAUACCGAAGAAUGUUAUCACGGGAGACACACGGCGGGUGCUAACGUCCGUCGUGAAGAGGGAAACAACCCAGACCGCCAGCUAAGGUCCCAAAGUCAUGGUUAAGUGGGAAACGAUGUGGGAAGGCAUAGACAGCCAGGAUGUUGGCUUAGAAGCAGCCAUCAUUUAAAGAAAGCGUAAUAGCUCACUGGUCGAGUCGGCCUGCGCGGAAGAUGUAACGGGGCUAAACCAUGCACCGAAGCUGCGGCAGCGACGUUUAGGCGUUGUUGGGUAGGGGAGCGUUCUGUAAGCCGUUGAAGGUGGCCUGUGAGGGUUGCUGGAGGUAUCAGAAGUGCGAAUGCUGACAUAAGUAACGAUAAAGCGGGUGAAAAGCCCGCUCGCCGGAAGACCAAGGGUUCCUGUCCAACGUUAAUCGGGGCAGGGUGAGUCGACCCCUAAGGCGAGGCUGAAAAGCGUAGUCGAUGGGAAACAGGUUAAUAUUCCUGUACUUGGUGUUACUGCGAAGGGGGGACGGAGAAGGCUAGGCUAGCCGGGCGACGGUUGUCCCGGUUUAAGCGUGUAGGGGGUGUGACCUGGUAAAUCCGGUUGCAUAUCAACCCUGAGGCGUGAUGACGAUGCACUACGGUGCAGAAGUAGUUGAUGCCCUGCUUCCAGGAAAAGCCUCUAAGCUCUAGGUAACAUUAAAUCGUACCCCAAACCGACACAGGUGGUCAGGUAGAGAAUACCAAGGCGCUUGAGAGAACUCGGGUGAAGGAACUAGGCAAAAUGGUGCCGUAACUUCGGGAGAAGGCACGCUGGCAUGUAGGUGAAGUCCUUCGCGGAUGGAGCUGAAGCCAGUCGAAGAUACCAGCUGGCUGCAACUGUUUAAUAAAAACACAGCACUGUGCAAACACGAAAGUGGACGUAUACGGUGUGACGCCUGCCCGGUGCUGGAAGGUUAAUUGAUGGGGUCAGCCGCAAGGCGAAGCUCUUGAUCGAAGCCCCAGUAAACGGCGGCCGUAACUAUAACGGUCCUAAGGUAGCGAAAUUCCUUGUCGGGUAAGUUCCGACCUGCACGAAUGGCGUAAUGAUGGCCAGGCUGUCUCCACCCGAGACUCAGUGAAAUUGAACUCGCUGUGAAGAUGCAGUGUACCCGCGGCAAGACGGAAAGACCCCGUGAACCUUUACUAUAGCUUGACACUGAACAUUGAGCCUUGAUGUGUAGGAUAGGUGGGAGGCUUUGAAGCGUGGACGCCAGUCUGCGUGGAGCCAUCCUUGAAAUACCACCCUUUAAUGUUUGAUGUUCUAACUCGGCCCCAUAAUCUGGGGUGAGGACAGUGUCUGGUGGGUAGUUUGACUGGGGCGGUCUCCUCCCAAAGAGUAACGGAGGAGCACGAAGGUUAGCUAAUCACGGUCGGACAUCGUGAGGUUAGUGCAAAGGCAUAAGCUAGCUUGACUGCGAGAGUGACGGCUCGAGCAGGUACGAAAGUAGGUCUUAGUGAUCCGGUGGUUCUGAAUGGAAGGGCCAUCGCUCAACGGAUAAAAGGUACUCCGGGGAUAACAGGCUGAUACCGCCCAAGAGUUCAUAUCGACGGCGGUGUUUGGCACCUCGAUGUCGGCUCAUCACAUCCUGGGGCUGAAGUAGGUCCCAAGGGUAUGGCUGUUCGCCAUUUAAAGUGGUACGCGAGCUGGGUUUAGAACGUCGUGAGACAGUUCGGUCCCUAUCUGCCGUGGGCGUUGGAAGAUUGAGAGGGGUUGCUCCUAGUACGAGAGGACCGGAGUGAACGCACCACUGGUGUUCGGGUUGUCAUGCCAAUGGCAUUGCCCGGUAGCUAAGUGCGGAAAAGAUAAGCGCUGAAAGCAUCUAAGCGCGAAACUUGCCUCAAGAUGAGUCUUCCCUGGGCCUUUAAGGUCCCUGAAGGAACGUUUAAGACUAAGACGUUGAUAGGCUGGGUGUGUAAGUGCAGCGAUGCAUUGAGCUAACCAGUACUAAUGAUCCGUGAGGCUUAACCUU